rnacentral:rRNA from 1 species
CCUACGGGAGGCAGCAGUAGGGAAUUUUCGGCAAUGGGGGGAACCCUGACCGAGCAACGCCGCGUGAACGAAGAAGGUCUUCGUAAUGUAAAGUUCUUUUAACAGGGAAGAAAGAGAGAUUUGACGGUACCUGAAGAAUAAGCUCCGGCUAACUAGGUGCCAGCAGCCGCGGUAAUACGUAGGGAGCGAGCGUUAUCCGGAUUUAGUGGGCGAAAGGGGUGCGUAGAUGGCAUAGUAAGUCUUUGGUAAAAAUGCUGGGCUAAACCCGGUAGGGCAAAAGAUACUGGAAAGCUAGAGUGUGCAAGAGGCAAGUGGAAUUACAUGUGUAGCGGUGAAAUGCGUAGAUAUAUGUAAGAACACCAGUGGCGAAGGCGGCUUGCUGGGUCGAUACUGACAUUGAGGCACGAAAGCGUGGGGAGCAAACAGGAUUAGAUACCCGUGUAGUC